UACGGAGGGGGCGAGUGUUGUUCGGAAUUACUGGGCGUAAAGCGUGCGCAGGCGGUUCGUUAAGUCAGAUGUGAAAGCCCCGGGCUCAACCUGGGAACUGCAUUUGAAACUGGCGGGCUUGAGUGUGGCAGAGGGGGGUGGAAUUCCGCGUGUAGCAGUGAAAUGCGUAGAGAUGCGGAGGAACACCGAUGGCGAAGGCAGCCCCCUGGGCCAACACUGACGCUCAGGCACGAAAGCGUGGGGAGCAAACAGG
rnacentral:rRNA from 1 species